GAGGUGCUGUACAACUGGCGGAAUAAAGUGGCACUAAGCCAUGGGGAGUACAGUCUUAGUUUUGAAUUAUGUCGACCGCCUGGGCAACCUGU
rnacentral:ncRNA from 2 species